UACGUAGGGUGCGAGCGUUAAUCGGAAUUACUGGGCGUAAAGCGUGCGCAGGCGGUUUUGUAAGCCAGAUGUGAAAUCCCCGGGCUUAACCUGGGAAUGGCAUUUGGGACUGCAAGGCUGGAGUGUGGCAGGAGGAGACUGGAAUUCCUGGUGUAGCAGUGAAAUGCGUAGAUAUCAGGAGGAAUACCGAUGGCGAAGGCAGGU
rnacentral:rRNA from 1 species